CACACGCACCUCACACUCCUCUCACACUUUUGCAUGCACCCAACACCUCCUUCGCCACGUGCCACGUCUGAAUUGGCUGGUCAACAUCCACCUUAAAACCCCAAAAUCUCAUUUACCAUGAAAAGCCUAUUAUGCCCUCACUUUAUUCACUUGAAAUGACCCAACUACCCUUAAGCCCUAUAUUACAUUACACUUUUCCUUCCACUUCCAAAAAGUGUCGUUUUCUCUCCUACUUUCUCUCUCUCGUUCAACAUCUCUUUACCCCUUUCAAGGAAAAUUGUUAGUCUUUCACCAUGGUGGAUAGAGGUUGCUACUCCAUUUUCAUGAUGAAUCCUUUCAAUCACGUGAAGAUCGAAUGGAGACAAAUUCCAACGUUUGAAUUUCAAACGUUCAACUUGAGGAACCCAAUUCCCGCUCAAAGGGAUAACCCUAGAAAUUCUUCUAUAAAUACUUGCGUCUUGGAAUCCAUUUGCAGAGACUUUUGGCAGCCGCAACACCUACAACUCGGGGAGUUAUUACUCUCUUUCUCGCUAAAAUAUAUUUGUUUGCUUUACUUUUUUUGGUCGAGCGAAUUUUCUUUCAUUUGGUCAUCUUUUUGGUCUCGAAAAGGCUCUUUUUAGCCACCUCUUUACUCCAAAACUUUUCAAAUCCACUGUUUGAGUUGUUUUGAGAGUAAGGGAUAGACUCGAGACCUACGCCUCACGUUCACUGCACCAAAACAGAAAUGGAGUCUUAAUUCAAGAAUCUCGUUAAUGAGAUCUCAAAAUGACAAUCAAUGUUGUCCCUCAUCCGAGCAAGAAGUCACAUUUCAUAUUCUUAAAGUCAACGCCACUAGCGGUCUAGUGCAUCAUCCCUUUCUUCAGAUUUUAUUUUCUUAUGUACGCUUGUUAUUGUCUUUCAUUUACGUAUUUUGCACAUUGUUGUUGUUUGAAAUUUGUGUUUUGUUUGCUUGAACUUGAAUUGGUAAAGGUCAUCCAGAUAUAAUUAGCAAAUAUAGUUGUUUC